AUUGAACGCUGGCGGCAGGCCUAACACAUGCAAGUCGAGCGGUAACAGGGAUAGCUUGCUAUCUGCUGACGAGCGGCGGACGGGUGCGUAACACGUAGGAAUCUGCCCGGUAGUGGGGGAUAGCCCGGAGAAAUCCGGAUUAAUACCGCAUACGCCUUACGAGGGAAAGCAGGGGAUCUUCGGACCUUGCGCUAUCGGAUGAGCCUGCGUCGGAUUAGCUGGUUGGUAGGGUAAAGGCCUACCAAGGCAACGAUCCGUAGCUGGUCUGAGAGGAUGAUCAGCCACACUGGGACUGAGACACGGCCCCAGACUCCUACGGGAGGCAGCAGUGG
rnacentral:rRNA from 1 species